rnacentral:rRNA from 1 species
UACAGAGGGUGCAAGCGUUGUUCGGAAUCACUGGGCGUAAAGGGCGCGUAGGCGGCUUGGCAAGUGGAUGGUGAAAUCCCUCGGCUUAACCGAGGAACGGCCGUCCAAACUGCUUCGCUUGAGACCGGGAGAGGUGAGUGGAAUUCCCAGUGUAGCGGUGAAAUGCGUAGAUAUCAGGAGGAACACCGGUGGCGAAGGCGGCUCUCUGGACCACAACUGACGCUGAGGCGCGAAAGCUAGGGGAGCAAACAGG